GCCUGUAGGUUUGUAUGGAAAACAAGUAUGGCACAGUGAAAAAAAUCCUUCUCUCACCCUACAGAUACCUGUACGGAGAGCUUGGGAGGCAUUUCCAUAGGCUCAUUGUCAAGUGAAAGUUAAAGCCCCCACUCACUGGGAAGCAAAGGGUGAAGAAAUAAGACACUACAUGGCUCUGCUUUUUAGUGCAUGGAUCAGAGACACAUCUAUGAACCACUGCCUACGCAAGUUGAUUACUGGGCAAUAUAAUUUCUCAGUUUUUAUGGGUAAAUGAGUGCUUCUCGCCAUGGACCUAGCUUGUGCAUCAAUUUAGUUCCAUUAAAUUGCUUUGGAUUCAUGGAAAUUCUGAACAGAGAUGUGAGAAUGACUACAAUUUGAGGUAUCUGUUAAAUACAGCAACAUGACAUCACAAGGUUUAUUUUGGAGUCUUCUGGGUAUGAGAGAUACUAAAAAAGUGGAACAGUAGGACUGGAAUAUAAGGGGAGAAAUAGAGAAAGCCAUGGUUUCUCUACUCUUUGGAGAAUAAUUCAUUUGUUGGUUUGUUUGGCAGAAAUGGGGAUUAGUUGAAGAGAUCAAGACAGGGAAUAAUGGUGUCUAACUUUUCUGAGAUAGGGACUGUAUGUGAAAACAGAGCCAGAAAACUAUGAGGAAAUGUUUCUUCUAUUCAAAAGAAAACAAAGUAGAAGGACUGAGAAUUGGAUAGAAGGCUCAGUGGUGUUGAGGAGUAUUUAAAUGCCUUGGGCCUUUAAGGACAUUCUACUGAAAUGAACAUAACUAAGGAGACAGGAAGGAAGCUGAGACAAGAAAGUGAAGAUUCUGAAGUAAAUGGGUACUUGCUUUGACCAAGAUCGAAACCCACCUCUCCCCAGAGAAUAUUAGAAGAGGGCAUGGAAGACAAGCAUUGGAAAAGUAGAAUGUUUGUGCUUUUCUUUCUGGUGAACUGCAUUAAAAAUUCAGCAAAAGGGGGGAUCAGUUUACAUUACUCUUCUUGUUUCGCAUGUAUUGACUGACAGGUGCUGUAAACAUACAUAGACAAACAUGGUCCUAUGCUUGCAGUGCUCCAGUGACUGAGGGAAGACAAUAGUCAAUCUCCCAAAGUGAUCACACUGAGGGCUUUGCAAACACACUAUGCUGAGAUUGAAGAAGAGGCCAUAAAUACUCUAUUUCCCGUAAAACUGCAGGAGCUUGCCUUUCAACUUUGAUUCUCAAGAAAAUCCAUCCGGAGAGACGGCGCUGUUCCGGCAAUAAGUUACUAAGGUAGAACGAUCUUCUUUUGAUUCUGAGGACUUGACUGAAACCCUUACUGGUACUUUUGAAGUAACAGGAGCCGAAAGAACCCAAGAGGCACCUUGGUCUUCUGUAUGUCUUGCUUUGCUGGAGGUAGACGACUGAGCCACAUGCCUUUGAUUUCGCUAAGGGUAGAACCUCAGCAAUCGGGGAGAGAGAACUGACCUUGGCUUUGAGAUCAGAACCAGUAUUUAAAACAUGGACUCGUUCGUGUUUUAAAGAUGUCAUGGUAAAUAAACUAUAACUGUUUAUACUGAAGACUAACAGGCUCCUUUUUCUACGCUAUAGGCAGCUAUUUGGCUGAGACUGUAUCAUUCUGUGAUACUAUCACAACUACCUUUUUUCUCACUUGAAUUGUACUUUUGGCUGUCAUUUGCGCUUUUGAAUAAAGGUUUACAUUAG